GACGAACGCUGGCGGCGUGCUUAACACAUGCAAGUCGAGCGGAAAGGCCACUUCGGUGGUACUCGAGCGGCGAACGGGUGAGUAACACGUGAGUAAUAUGCCCCUCACUUUGGGCUAGCAACCGGAAACGGUGAUUAAUACCGGAUAUGACUUUCUGUCGCAUGGCGUGUGGUGGGAAGGUUUUCGGUGAGGGAUGUGCUGGCGGCCUGUCAGCAUGAUGGUGCAGUGAUGGCUCACGAUGGCUUCGACGGGUAGCCGGCCUGAACGGGUGACCGGCCACACUGGGACGGAGACACGGCCCAGACGCCGACGGGAGGCAGCAGUGGGGAAUAGUGGACUAUGGGCGGAAGCCUGAUCCAGCAACGCCGCGUGAGGGAUGACGGCCUUCGGGUUGUAAACCUCUUUCAGUACCGACGAAGCGCAAGUGACGGUAGGGACAGAAGAAGCACCGGCCAACUACGUG
rnacentral:rRNA from 1 species